rnacentral:rRNA from 1 species
GACGAACGCUGGCGGCGUGCUUAACACAUGCAAGUCGAGCGGUAAGGCCCUUUCGGGGGUACACGGGCGGCGAACGGGUGAGUAACACGUGGGUGACCUGCCCUCAGCUCUGGGAUAAGCCUGGGAAACCGGGUCUAAUACCGGAUAUGACUCCAUGACGCAUGUUGUGGGGUGGAAAGCCUUGUGCGGCUGAGGAUGGGCCCGCGGCCUAUCAGCCUGUUGGUGGGGUGAUGGCCUACCAAGGCGACGACGGGUAGCCGGCCUGAGAGGGCGACCGGCCACACUGGGACUGAGACACGGCCCAGACUCCUACGGGAGGCAGCAGGUGGGGAAUCUUGCGCAAUGGGCGAAAGCCUGACGCAGCGACGCCGCGUGA